rnacentral:rRNA from 1 species
UACGGAGGGGGCGAGCGUUAUUCGGAAUUAUUGGGCGUAAAGGGCGCGUAGGCGGCUUGACAAGUCAAAGGUGAAAUCCCUCGGCUCAACUGAGGAACUGCCUUUGAAACUGUCUGGCUUGAGGCCGGGAGGGGGUAGCGGAAUUCCCAGUGUAGCGGUGAAAUGCGUAGAUAUUGGGAGGAACACCAGUGGCGAAGGCGGCUACCUGGACCGGUUCUGACGCUGAGUGCGCGAAAGC